CAAUCCAGGUUCUCUCUCUUCAAAUUCAUCUCUAUCUUUUCUCCUUUUACAAUUACGAUGAUUUGUUUUCACGGCCUUUACAGAAGAUCACCGAAACGCACCCUAUAAGCCUAAUUCCUACACGUACAAUUUCACGGCAACCUCGACUGAUUCACUUUUUCAUUUCAAAAUUUGAAUUAUUUCAUCGGGUGGUAGAAGGAGCUAUAGCACACCAAGUGUUUGUAACAUUGCCUCUAUGAAUCUGAAUUCUUUUGCUUUUUUAUGUUCAUCUGGUGGUGGAAGGAGGGAUUGUACGCA
rnacentral:lncRNA from 1 species